CAAAGUUUUUGUUGUUGCUCUUCGGAGCCUCAACUUCAACCCCUUGUGCAAUCGUGAAUGUUUCUGGGUGUUCUUUUGGGCUCUCUAGCUCAAACCACCCACUCUUAUAAACACUAUUAUUUGUCUGAAAUUAAGAAAUUAAUUAUAAA
rnacentral:misc_RNA from 1 species